GACGAACGCUGGCGGCGUGCUUAACACAUGCAAGUCGAACGGAAAGGCCCUGCUUUUGUGGGGUGCUCGAGUGGCGAACGGGUGAGUAACACGUGAGUAACCUGCCCUUGACUUUGGGAUAACUUCAGGAAACUGGGGCUAAUACCGGAUAGGAGCUCCUGCUGCAUGGUGGGGGUUGGAAAGUUUCGGCGGUUGGGGAUGGACUCGCGGCUUAUCAGCUUGUUGGUGGGGUAGUGGCUUACCAAGGCUUUGACGGGUAGCCGGCCUGAGAGGGUGACCGGCCAAAUUGGGAAUGAGAUACGGCCCAGACCCCUAGGGGAGGCAGAGGUGGGGAAUAUUGAACAAGGGGGGGAAGCCUGAUGCAGAAACGCCGCGGGGGGGAUGACGGCCUUGGGGUUGUAAACCGUUUUCGCCUGUGACGAAGCGUGGGUGACGGUAAUGGGAAAAGGAGCACCGGCUAACUACGG
rnacentral:rRNA from 1 species